rnacentral:rRNA from 1 species
GAUGAACGCUGGCGGCGUGCCUAAUACAUGCAAGUCGAGCGAACGGACGAGAAGCUUGCUUCUCUGAUGUUAGCGGCGGACGGGUGAGUAACACGUGAAUAACCUACCUAUAAGACUGGGAUAACUUCGGGAAACCGGAGCUAAUACCGGAUAAUAUUUUGAACCGCAUGGUUCAAAAGUGAAAGACGGUCUUGCUGUCACUUAUAGAUGGAUCCGCGCUGCAUUAGCUAGUUGGUAAGGUAACGGCUUACCAAGGCAACGAUGCAUAGCCGACCUGAGAGGGUGAUCGGCCACACUGGAACUGAGACACGGUCCAGACUCCUACGGGAGGCAGCAGUAGGGAAUCUUCCGCAAUGGGCGAAAGCCUGACGGAGCAACGCCGCGUGAGUGAUGAAGGUCUUCGGAUCGUAAAACUCUGUUAUUAGGGAAGAACAUAUGUGUAAGUAACUGUGCACAUCUUGACGGUACCUAAUCAGAAAGCCACGGCUAACUACGUGCCAGCAGCCGCGGUAAUACGUAGGUGGCAAGCGUUAUCCGGAAUUAUUGGGCGUAAAGCGCGCGUAGGCGGUUUUUUAAGUCUGAUGUGAAAGCCCACGGCUCAACCGUGGAGGGUCAUUGGAAACUGGAAAACUUGAGUGCAGAAGAGGAAAGUGGAAUUCCAUGUGUAGCGGUGAAAUGCGCAGAGAUAUGGAGGAACACCAGUGGCGAAGGCGACUUUCUGGUCUGUAACUGACGCUGAUGUGCGAAAGCGUGGGGAUCAAACAGGAUUAGAUACCCUGGUAGUCCACGCCGUAAACGAUGAGUGCUAAGUGUUAGGGGGUUUCCGCCCCUUAGUGCUGCAGCUAACGCAUUAAGCACUCCGCCUGGGGAGUACGACCGCAAGGUUGAAACUCAAAGGAAUUGACGGGGACCCGCACAAGCGGUGGAGCAUGUGGUUUAAUUCGAAGCAACGCGAAGAACCUUACCAAAUCUUGACAUCCUUUGACAACUCUAGAGAUAGAGCCUUCCCCUUCGGGGGACAAAGUGACAGGUGGUGCAUGGUUGUCGUCAGCUCGUGUCGUGAGAUGUUGGGUUAAGUCCCGCAACGAGCGCAACCCUUAAGCUUAGUUGCCAUCAUUAAGUUGGGCACUCUAAGUUGACUGCCGGUGACAAACCGGAGGAAGGUGGGGAUGACGUCAAAUCAUCAUGCCCCUUAUGAUUUGGGCUACACACGUGCUACAAUGGACAAUACAAAGGGCAGCGAAACCGCGAGGUCAAGCAAAUCCCAUAAAGUUGUUCUCAGUUCGGAUUGUAGUCUGCAACUCGACUACAUGAAGCUGGAAUCGCUAGUAAUCGUAGAUCAGCAUGCUACGGUGAAUACGUUCCCGGGUCU